rnacentral:rRNA from 1 species
UAUUGCACAAUGGGGGAAACCCUGAUGCAGCGACGCCGCGUGAGUGAAGAAGUAUUUCGGUAUGUAAAGCUCUAUCAGCAGGGAAGAAAAAAGACGGUACCUGACUAAGAAGCCCCGGCUAACUACGUGCCAGCAGCCGCGGUAAUACGUAGGGGGCAAGCGUUAUCCGGAUUUACUGGGUGUAAAGGGAGCGUAGACGGCCAGACAAGUCAGAAGUGAAAGCCCAGGGCUCAACUCUGGGACUGCUUUUGAAACUGCCGGGCUGGAGUGCAGGAGAGGUAAGCGGAAUUCCUAGUGUAGCGGUGAAAUGCGUAGAUAUUAGGAGGAACACCAGUGGCGAAGGCGGCCUGCUGGACGACAACUGACGCUGAGGCGCGAAAGCGUGGGGAGCAAACAG